GCAAGGCUUGAGCCAAAUAUGCACUACACCACCUGAGCACAGCACUGAAUGAAAGAAAGCGGAAUCUCUAGUGAAACUUCUCAUUUCCUGUCUCUGCUGAGCAGGCUGGACUCGCUUCUUCUCACAUGGUUUAAGAAGAGCUAUAAACACAACCAUCUCCCUUGCAGGCUGGCCACAAGCUCAGAGGGCCUUCAAGGGCAGCCUCUGAGUUCGGCUCCCCUUUCCUCCCGUUGACCGGUGUCAUUCCUGUAAAGAUAACGGUACCGAACGCCCUCCACUUCCUAGAGUCCUCAUUCACGUCAUGGUUCCUCUUUCAAGAAAACAUGGGGACAAAAGGCAAAGCAAAAGAACAGACUAAAGGCAAAAUUACGAACACCUCGUUCCAUUCCUCCUCAUCGUUAUUAUAGAGCUGGAUCAAAUUCCCUUUGUCGUCCGCCCUACAUACACACACACACACACACACACGCAGAGUAGGUCAAGGGUACCCUAAGAGAACUUAUUUUUUUCCCGCCUCACGAAAGCCUUAACGCAAUCCUCUCACCGUCUCCAAAUGCAAGGCUUUAGCAUUCAGCUGAAGAGCUAAACCGUUUCAAGCCAAGAAAGGAGUCUCGGAGGAGCGACGGAUUAACUGGGGCACCUGGGCUCCCCAGAGAAAUGGAAAAAAGUGCACAGACCACCUGGAGAACACAGCGCCGAAAGUUUUAGAGAUCGUCGCCCCUUCCGGUUCUGUUCCCUAAAUUCUCUUCUGCAGAUAAUUCCUCAGUCUCUUCCUUCAACAUAUUAUGGGGGUACAAACGUUAAGGUUACAAACCCAUUUCGACACGAAGUGUUUUUCACUUAGAGACGGUUUCCCUCUCCGCUGUCAGGCUGGGACAGUUCACGGUUGCAGUUCUGACCCCUUUGCUGACCCCACAAAAACCUGCAGAAGAAAAAUAGGCCUGGGACACGGCGGCCAGACUGCGCAUGCGUCGGCGGCUGGCGGCGGAGUUUGAGAGCUAAGGGAGCCUCAGCCCUGGGCUGCCCCCGUCGGGCUAGGUUUUGGGGACCUUGUGAAAGUUGGAACACGCCGCGGGAACACUCGCGCUGGCUGAAGCAGCGCAUUCGUGUGUCUUGAAUUUCAGGGGGACUCUUAAACCCUGCCCCUUUUACUCCCACUGCGCACUGCCCCUCAAACCCAAAAAUAAUGUUUAAAUGAUUUGGGUUGAACUCUUGCUGUUGUGUGUAAAUGUGAUCCACGGUCACCUAUUUGAGAUGUGUUCUUUUAACAUUUGAAAAUAAAAAUAUAAAGUGCAGUUUGUUGGGGUUUUAGAUAAUUUUUUAGUUUCUAGAUUUCUGUAGUUCAAGCUUUCUAUUAGGAACCGUAUUAAUUUUAUAAGCAGGUCAAAUGUUGUUUUUAAGAAAAUGAUCUGUUCAGGACAGGGGCUGUGUCCUUAUUUACUUGGCUGUGACAAGCGUAGCACACUGUGUAAGCUCAGCAUUAAACAAUAAAUCAGCCUGAGGAUUUCCUUUCUUCACAUGCAUCCUUCCCCAGCAAUUUCCUCUUGUGUUCAGUGCAGAUUCCAUCCAUAGCACAAUGUUUCCUAGGCCAUAAUUUUGGCAAAUAAAUCAUACUAAAUUUUACAUAUCUUUAGAAACAAAAUCCAGCAUAUCUGAAUCACCAUUUAAUGCAAGGUAGUUCAUAAAGAGAAAUUAAAUUGGACAGAAGUUUCAUAAAAAGACAAAAAAGUAAACUAAAACUAUGAAUUUUGUUUGAGUUAGUACCAGAUCCCCCUUUAGGUGUUGUAAGAUAUUUCCAAAAUCCAGAUUAUAUAAACUAUACCAGGAGGCAAACCUGGAUGUAGGAUCGAACUCUGCUGCUUUCUAGCAACAUGACCUUGGACAA